GAAAGAUCCACGACUUGAAGGAAUGGAUGAUUUAUCUGGAACGGAAAUCCCUUUGCACUAUAUCUUCAAAAUGGCAGCUCACACUAUCCACUUGGUGGUAUUUUAUGAAAGGAGUGGUAACUACCUCUGGCAUGGUCCUUUGAGACUUAAAAGGAAUAUGGACAAGAAAUUUGCACCAUUCCGGAAACUUCAGUUUGGUCGAAAUGCUGGUGCUUACAACAGGUAAAAUGUAGAUCAUUUUUGUUA